rnacentral:misc_RNA from 1 species
GAUGAAGAACGUAGCGAAAUGCGAUAAGUAAUGUGAAUUGCAGAAUUCAGUGAAUCAUCGAAUCUUUGAACGCACAUUGCGCCCUCUGGUAUUCCGGGGGGCAUGCCUGUUCGAGCGUCAUUAUAACCACUCAAGCUCUCGCUUGGUAUUGGGGUUCGCGGUUCCGCGGCCCCUAAAAUCAGUGGCGGUGCCUGUCGGCUCUACGCGUAGUAAUACUCCUCGCGAUUGAGUCCGGUAGGACUACUUGCCAGCAACCCCCAAUUUUUACAGGUUGACCUCGGAUCAGGUAGGGAUACCCGCUGAACUUAAGCAUAUCAAUAAGCGGAGGA